rnacentral:tRNA from 1 species
UCCCAGGUGGCUCAGUGGGUAAAGAAUCUGCCUGCAAUGCAGGAGACUCAGGUUUAAUCCCCGAGUUGGGAA